UAUGGCCAUAUCUCAAUUAAACACUGGUUCCCACAUGAUCAUUGAAGUUAAGCAACAUUGAGUCUGGUCAGUAUCCAGAUGGGUGACUGCUUGGGAAUAUCAGGUGC